rnacentral:rRNA from 1 species
UACAGAGGGGGCGAGCGUUGUUCGGAAUUACUGGGCGUAAAGGGCGCGUAGGCGGCCCGCUAAGUCGAACGUGAAAUCCCCGGGCUCAACCCGGGAACUGCGUCCGAUACUGGCAGGCUUGAAUUCGGGAGAGGGAUGCAGAAUUCCAGGUGUAGCGGUGAAAUGCGUAGAUAUCUGGAGGAAUACCGGUGGCGAAGGCGGCAUCCUGGACCGACAUUGACGCUGAUGAGCGAAAGCUAGGGGAGCAAACGGG